rnacentral:rRNA from 1 species
AGAGUUUGAUCCUGGCUCAGGAUGAACGCUAGCGGCAGGCCUAAUACAUGCAAGUCGAACGGUAAAUAUUUAGCAAUAAAUAUGAGAGUGACGUACGGGUGCGUAACACGUAUGCAACCUACCCUUUACAGGCGGAUAGCUCGGGGAAACUCGAAUUAACCCGCCGUAAUAUAAUUGGAUGGCAUCAUCUGGUUAUUAAAUCUACGGAGGUAAAGGAUGGGCAUGCGUCUGAUUAGUUAGUUGGCGGGGUAACGGCCCACCAAGACGAUGAUCAGUAGGGGAACUGAGAGGUUGAUCCCCCACACUGGCACUGAGAUACGGGCCAGACUCCUACGGGAGGCAGCAGUAGGGAAUAUUGGUCAAUGGAUGGAAGUCUGAACCAGCCAUGCCGCGUGCAGGAAGAAGGCCUUCUGGGUUGUAAACUGCUUUUGCCAGGGGAUAAAAUGACCUUGCGAGGUUAAUUGAAGGUACCUGGUGAAUAAGCCACGGCUAACUACGUGCCAGCAGCCGCGGUAAUACGUAGGUGGCAAGCGUUGUCCGGAUUUAUUGGGUUUAAAGGGUGCGUAGGCGGCUUAUUAAGUCAGUGGUGAAAUACUCUAGCUCAACUAGAGGGGUGCCAUUGAUACUGAUGAGCUUGAGUACAGAUGAGGUAGGCGGAAUUGACGGUGUAGCGGUGAAAUGCUUAGAUAUCGUCAAGAACACCUAUAGCGAAGGCAGCUUACUAGGCUGUAACUGACGCUGAGGCACGAAAGUGUGGGGAUCAAACAGGAUUAGAUACCCUGGUAGUCCACACUGUAAACGUUGAUUACUCGCUGUGUGCGAUAUACAGUACGCGGCCAAGCGAAAGCGAUAAGUAAUCCACCUGGGGAGUACGCCGGCAACGGUGAAACUCAAAGGAAUUGACGGGGGUCCGCACAAGCGGUGGAGCAUGUGUUUAAUUCGAUGAUACGCGAGGAACCUUACCUGGACUAGAAUGCCCUUGACCGAUCCAGAGAUGGAUUUUUCCGCAAGGACAAGGAGCAAGGUGCUGCAUGGCCGUCGUCAGCUCGUGCCGUGAGGUGUUGGGUUAAGUCCCGCAACGAGCGCAACCCCUAUUUUUAGUUGCCAACAGGUUAAGCUGGGGACUCUAAAAAGACUGCCCGCGCAAGCGGAGAGGAAGGAGGGGACGACGUCAGGUCAUCAUGGCCCUUACGUCCAGGGCUACGCACGUGCUACAAUGGCGUAUACAGAGUGUUGCAAACCAGCGAUGGUAAGCCAAUCACAAAAAGUACGUCUCAGUUCGGAUUGCAGGCUGCAACUCGCCUGCAUGAAGUUGGAAUCGCUAGUAAUCGCGCAUCAGCAAUGGCGCGGUGAAUACGUUCCCGGACCUUGUACACACCGCCCGUCAAGCCAUGAGAGUCGGGAGGACCUGAAGGCAGUUGCUGUAAGGCGCUGUUUAGGGUUAAACCGAUGAUUAGGGCUAAGUCGUAACAAGGUA